rnacentral:rRNA from 1 species
GACGUAGGGUGCAAGCGUUGUCCGGAUUUAUUGGGCGUAAAGAGCUCGUGGGCGGCUUGUUGCGUCAACUGUGAAAACCCGCGGCUUAACCGCGGGCUUGCAGUUGAUACGGGCAGGCUAGAGUUCGGUAGGGGAGACUGGAAUUCCUGGUGUAGCGGUGAAAUGCGCAGAUAUCAGGAGGAACACCGGUGGCGAAGGCGGGUCUCUGGGCCGAUACUGACGCUGAGGAGCGAAAGCGUGGGGAGCGAACAGG